ACGCCUGCCCAGUGAAUAAUUAAACGGCCGCGGUACCCUAACCGUGCAAAGGUAGCGUAAUCAUUUGUCUAUUAAUUGUAGACCCGUAUGAAAGGCAUAAUGAGGGUUUAACUGUCUCUUUUAGUAAAUCAAUUAAACUGAUCUCCUAGUCCAAAAGCUAGGAUACCAACAUAAGACCAGAAGACCCUGUGAAACUUUAACUAAAAUAUUAAAGCCUAUAAUAACUACUUUAGGUUGGGGCGACCUUGGAAAAUAAAAGAACUUCCACACACAUAUUAUAUAAUAAUAUAUAACCGGCCAACAAGCCUACAACGACCCAGCACAGCUGACAAUUGAACCAAGCUACUCCAGGGAUAACAGCGCUAUCUUCUUCAAGAGCCCAUAUCAAAAAGAAGGUUUACGACCUCGAUGUUGGAUCAGGACAUCCUGAUGGUGCAACCGCUAUUAAGGGUUCGUUUGUUCAACGAUUAACA
rnacentral:rRNA from 1 species